AAAAAAAAUCUCUUCCACAUGUUGUGCAUUCUGAUGUUCAUUUUGCACCCCUCACUGCAGUCUACUACGACUAUGCUUUGCAAGAUUGUUGCGAGGCUUGCCUCUCUUUGCUCUCCAAUGUACAAUACGUGACUCACAGUUAGCAUCAUCAUGUUAUCAGUAGUAGGCCAUCAAUUUGCUUAUUUAUGCUAGUUGGUCCUAUAAGCAUCCAUCACCACAUAAAUAACUUUUUAGGGCAUGUACGUAUUAUCAUAUCAUCGGUUCGAGCUCUCAAGGAUGGCCUAAUUUUGGCGGGUACCGUUGGCUGCCAUAACGUAAUUCUUGACGCUGAUUGUAUGGAGUUGAUUGAUGUAAUGGUCAAUGGGGGUAAUUUGCUAGGACCAGCAGCGGCCAUCUAUGAACAAUGUCCUGAGUUGAAAUUUUUCUUCUACUACUUUUAAUCAUUGUCAUAGAGAGGCCAACACGGCGGCGGACGUUUGAGCUAGCAAGGCGGGGUGCGAUCGAUCCAUUGUUUGGCAAUCGGAGCCUCCGGAUUUCUUGUUGAUGUUUUGGCAAAUGAUGCAUUCAUAUUUGAGCCUGAAAUAUAAAACACCAUGUUGGUGUAUUGCCCUAAAAAAACAUCAUCAGUUUACUAGUGUCGUUUAUAUAAUGAUCAAACGUUAGGAGCACUUACCAAAUUGUUUGAAACAAUUACCACUUUUUCCUACAUAGCUAAUGUAUUACUUUGAAGGGUAUCUUUCUUUUAGAAAGAAAAGGGCACCAUAUUGUUUAGGAUAACUGCAAUUUUUUCAUUCUAUAUCAAAUUAUUUCGAGAAAACGUUAUCGCCUUUUUAAGAAACAAUUGCCAUAUUUUGUUUACAGAGCCACCGCACACAAAGAUGGUGGUGUGCACAUCUUCCUAUGAGAACUUUCGAACAUUUUUUAGAAUAUUUUUUAUAUAACAGAUUUCUUUGAACUGUUCUAUAUAACAGAUAGGGGAGCCUGUGUAUGUUUGCUAUAUUCCAGUUUCCUGCUGAAGCCUAAACUAAAUCAUUGUAAUAUUUUUUUAAAGGUCAUCCCACAAGGUACUUAAUUUCACUGUGGUUAUGAUCAUUUCAUUUUUAUUGGUUGUAACUAAUUUGACUCACGCGUGAUAGGUUAUGCCUGCACCCUUGAAGCUACAUUUAUAUGGUCACGUAAAUCACUGGUUGGUAUUCUAAAGAUAUUAACUUCGACAUAUAGAUCAUUGGUUGGUAUUUCAACGAGCCAGGACGGUUGAAUACUUGAAAAUCAUUACUUGUAUUAUUUCUUUGGAAUAACAUCAAAGAUAAUGAUUAGUGAUAGUGUAUUCAUCUACCUAAUUGCUUCAUCCAUUUUGUACGGUGAGUAUUUUAUAAUGCAUAUUCUUACAUAUUGCACAUAAUAGCCUCAUGCUAACGACAUAUAUUGCUCGUGUGCGAUAGUUACAAUCUUUGUACACUUGCUUAAAUACCAUGUGAAUUACGCCAAAGACAACAUAUCUAAGUUAUACAUGAAUUUCUUAAGCGUGUCAAAGUAGAUAUGUUACAUUACUUAGCUGAAUCAUUGUCUUAUAUACUUUAUACAAGUACGGCCUGUUAUAACAUUUUGGCCAUCGCAGGUGGCCCAAAUUUUGGGGAGCCUGAGCUGGUUGCAUGGUUAGAUUUUGCGGAAUCUAUUGGGCGCCUCUUGGAAGUAUGAGUGACAAACACCGUGGGAAUGAAGCUAAAGUCAACUUUCCUGAUAUUGUUAAAGAAUUUCUUAAGUGCAUCAUCUAGAUAUUGAUAAUUUUGUAAUAGAUGUUUAGAUUAAACAUCGCUCAGUUUGUUACAUGGACAUGUCGUUAGUCUUUCUUUUUGUUAUCAAUUUUCAUUGCAAAAUGGACUUCAAUUGUUCAGUAAUUGUGUUCGUGUUAUAUUGUUUAUGCAUGUGAAAUUUAACAUGUAACUCUUGUAAACUUUGUCAAGAGCCCGUGGCAACGCACGGGCACUCUACUAGUCUUGUUAAAGGAUGCUCGAAUGGAAGGUGCUCGGAUAUUGAGUACUUACCGAAGUGUCUGGAUGAUUGCAGUCAAGGCCGACGUCUUCGGUGGUGUCCGGCCAUUGCUCUCGUUCCCAAAAUAUAAUUUCCACAUCCCUUCGUGCGUAGUGCCGAAGAAGUGCUAUAGGGUCCGCCGCCCUUCUGGGUUAAACUCCCACAUACGGAGAGGCCGCCGCUGACAUGGCAAGAUCGGGCGGACCAACAUUACUUGAACGACAUUCACAAGAUCGAUACCCUUCUCGGUAAGGCUUCAGAUGCGACUUUGCAGAGUCCGCACUUCAUUGACGAAUCCCCAGUCCAAUCCCUUAUUGAUCCAUGGAGCAAGCUGACUUGGAGGGCCGGGGUGGAACGCCGGCAUAGUCACCCACUUGGAGCCUCUCGGCUCAUUGAUGUAAAACCACCCUUGCUGCCAAAAGUCCGAGGACUUGGCGAAAGAUCCUUCAAACCAAACCGCGCUGGCAAGCUUGUCAAUUAUGACGCUGCCACACUCCGCCUACUCAUCCUCUGUCACCCGCGUCCUCACAUCGAAGGUCUUCAGUGACAAACCAAAGUGCGGAGGAGUCCGGAGGAAGGCCUCACUCAUGACGAUAAAUGUCGAGAUGAGAAGAAUAGAGUCCGGGGCCAGAUCAUGGAAGUCUAGCCCAUAGUAGUACAUAAGCCCCCAGACGAAGGGGUUGAGUGCGAACCCUAACCCAUGGAGGAAGUGGGAUACAAAUACUACCCUCUCACCGGAUCUGGGGAUAGGGAUGACCUGCCCCUGUGCAGGAAGCCGAUGACGAAUCUCCGUGGUCAGAUACCUCGCUUCGCGAUAUCCUCCUCUAUGACGGAAGAAGCCACCCACCAGCCCGGACGGUUGGACCCAGACAUGAUUAAGGCUGGUGGCGAUUAGAACCCGAGGUUUGAAAGUUGGGGUGGCUGGGGCUGAGGAAGGAGCAAGCGCAAGGGAAGAAGACGAGACUGGGUCCCUACAUAAAGGCCCCGAAUACUGGGCAUCUCCCCCUGGGUCUCUGAACUUACCUAUCACCAAGGAGUUGUACCCAGGCGACGGUUGAGUUACCCACGCCAGCAUUGAUGAAAAUCCCGUAAAUAAGGGAACACGAUCUUUGCCUUGACAAGACGUGCCAAUAAAACCGCGCCCCGAGAUGUGGGGCGGCCCACUAGCUGAUGGUUGGAAAUAGCGAACCGGGCAGGCGUGAUACGAUGUCAUGAAUAGUUAUCAACAAGCCGGGCUCGCGGAGUAUUGUAUUCUCCGUGAAUAUAUAUACAUACAGGUCCAGAUAUACUUACUUCAUCGAAAGACUACUCUGGAGUUCGGAAGGAGGGAACCCGCCUUGCAAUGCCGAAGACAAAUAUGUGUGCCGAACUCCUCGUCAUUGAAGCUAGGUUCAGGGGCUACUGAGGGAGUCCUGGAUUAAGGGGUCCUCGGGCGUCCGGCCUGUUAUCCAUGGGCCGGACUGAUGGGAUGUGAAGACAUGAAGACCGAAGACCAUACCCGUGUCCGAAUUGGACUCUACUUGGCAUGGAAGGCAAGCUUGGCGACUGUCGGUGUCAAAACCGGCGGAUCUCGGGUAGGGGGUCCCGAACUGUGCGUCUAGGCAGAUGGUAACAUGAGACAAGGGACACGAUGUUUUUACCCAGGUUCGGGCCCUCUCGAUGGAGGUAAAACCCUACUCCUGCUUGAUUGAUAUUGAUGAUAUGGGUAGUACAAGAGUAGAUCUACCACGAGAUCAAGGAGGCUAAACCCUACAAGCUAGCCUAUGGUAUGAUUGUUGUUCGUCCUAUGGACUAAAACCCUCCGGUUUAUAUAGACACCGGAGAGGGCUAGGGUUACACAGAGUCGGUUACAAUGGUAGGAGAUCUACAUAUCCGUAUUGCCAAGCUUGCCUUCCACGCCAAGGAAAGUCCCAUCCGGACACGGGACGAAGUCUUCAAUCUUGUAUCUUCAUAGUCUUGGAGUCCGGCCAAUGAUGAUAGUUCGGCUAUCCGGACACCCCCUAGUCUAGGACUCCCUCAGUAGCCCCUGAACCAGGCUUCAAUGACGAUGAGUCCGGCGCAUAUAUUGUCUUCGGCGUUGCAAGGCGGGUUCUCCUCCAAAUUCCAUGUGCUUGCCAAAUAGUGUCCAGCUUCCUUAUAAAUGUUGCGCUCCUUGGCUUUCACGUCCAAUAAUGGCCCUCUUCCACGUGUCGUAUGAAUGCUAAAAGCCAGGGUAUUUUUACGUUUUACCCCCUAGCUGCGCAAAUAAGCUGCCUAUAAGAGAGGCGAGGAUCUAGAUCCGAACCACACCAUCCUCCUUCCGCGAGUACUCAUCGAAGCGCCUCUGACAAAAAUUCACUCCAUCAUGGACAGUCGACGCGACUCCUCCUCUCGCGCUCCCAGCCCUUAGCUAGGAGAUUGGAGGAGAUGUUCAGUUCCGCAUAGCGAGCUAGUGACGCUCUGAGCAGAGGGAUACCAUCCCCCAGCCUUCAUGGUUCCGGUUCGAGCCGGACUGGCCACCUACAAGGGUGGAAAGCAGGCGGAGAGCGUCCCCAAUCCCUCCAAAGGAGAGCGGGUAUGCUUCGUCCCUUAUCUAAUAAGGGGACUCAGAUUUCCCAUACAUCCGUUUCUCCGGGGGCUCCUGGAGUUCUAUGGACUCUAGCUUCACCACCUUACACCUGCCUCCAUCUUGCACAUCGCGGGUUUUGUAGCCCUUUGCGAGCUGUUCUUGGGCAUCGAGGCCCAUUUUGCGCUGUGGAAGAGAUUGUACCCCGUUCUCACGAGGGGUCGAUAUAUCAAGUGGGCGGAGCCGAAAUAUGGCGCAUCACAGGGACCGGAUAUGUAUCCGGAACCCCGAAGAAGGCGUCCGAAGACUGGCCUUCGGAAUGGUUUUAUAUGGAAGACGCCCCACUGCCGGACCCAAUUCGGAUCGGCCUCCCGGAGUUCAGCAACGCUCCCCUAAAGAAACGCCUGAGUUGGCGCCCGCGGAUCCCUCAACGGGAGAAUGAUAGGGACGUCCAAUAUCUAAUAGGCCGGAUAAGGUUACUGGAUCAUUCCGGAUUGACCAUGAUUGGAGUCAUGGCCACGUGCAUCAUGCGGGGGGUGCAUCCGCUCCAAUACAGGGGCCACCCCAUGUGGGAUUUCAACGGGGAGGAUGACGCCACCCGUCAUGGCAGCAAGGGGCCGGGAUCGGUUGCCGAUCUUGUGAAGAUCCUGUCCGGCUUGUACAAGGGGGAGAAGGAGGACUUCCUCCACGCGAGUCCAUUGAAUGGAUUCUCCAUGAAUAACCCUCGGAGCUGGGUAAGCGGACAUUUAUCUAUUCGAUCCAUAUUCCCAAAGUUAAGUGUCUCACUUUGUUACAUCGACGCAGGAACUGCGCCGGGACGUAGAGGGCAUACUCAGCCCGACUCCACAGCCCGAGGAUCCAGGACGAUCCCUUGAUCCGGCCUCCGAAGAGGAUCCGGACAUAAAGGUGGAGCUGAUCGAUGGGGUAUUCCACCAACUUAGCAUGGACAAUGCUUUGGUCGCCAUUACGGCCGACUACCCCGGUUUAUCUCCGGCUUCCCAGGUAACUGUGAUCGGAGUCCUGACAUCAUUACUCAUCCAUGCUUAUUUCUGACCAUCGUAUACCAACGGUGCUCCGCAGGAGGUGCCUUUAGGGCGGGAAGCCGAACCCGCGGCGGCUGACCAACAAGGGUCAGUUCGGCCCAGCAGGCGGAAGAGGAGUGCGGCGCGACUCGAAAUGUCACCGCAAUGGUAUGACGCACCACCGUGUUUAAAGGAAAGGUUCCUAGGAGGUAUAUUAACGCUCACGAUUUUUCCAGGAGAAAGAGCGCUCGCCGGACUGUGUCCGGAGAGGUUGCCAAUCAAGCCUCCGCCAACCAGGCUCCAACGCCUGGUCCGGAGGGGGAGGCGAACAUAAGGCGUGAGCCAGAUGCUCCUCCAACGGAGGAUGCCGACAGGCUAUUCGCCACCAGGUCUGAGGUGGAGAGCGCCAUGAAUCAUAGGCGCCGCCGGACAGUUCUUCGUGACGCAUGUUUCUCCCCGGAGGCGUUGAAUGCCUUUAAUACGGGAGACACGCACCUCCGUGCCGCUCGAGAUGGUCUAACUAGAGCCACGGAGAAGUAUGUGAAAGACAUACGGGUGAGGAAUUUUAAUAGUUAUAUAUGCCAGUAGCCCCCGAGACUUAAAAUAGUUAGAAUAGCUGAUUUAAGGAUCAUUUGUUAUGUAGGAUCUUACGGAGAAGAAUACCCACCUGUCCCAGGAGCUUCAAGGGUGCAAGGCCCAACUUGAGGCCGCACUAGCCGCCGCAGGGGGAGCCACAGAGACCCCCUCUGGUAAUACAUACUUCGAAAAGAUAAGAAGUUUAUGAAGUGCGGCGUGCGUAUAAGUCUGACACUAAUAUUGCAGAUGGUGCCGGACUUGAUCCGGACAAGCAACAGCUACUGCGCCAGCUGAAGGCCGGCGAGAAGGUGCUUAUGAGGGUGCAGCAGGAGAGGAACAAACUCCAAGAUGCCAACACCCAGCUGGGCGAAGAACUAAAAGGUGUUUGGGCCCAGCUGUCUGGCUCCGUGAAGGAGAAUCGGCGGCUUCGUCGCGGCAUUUACAGUAAGUGCUUGAGCAAACUCUUUUGAAAAUAAGAGUUCGGCGAGGAAGUCGAUUGACAGAAAUGUGUCUGUAGGUGUGCUCACAGGUCGUCCUACGGAGGAAAUGCCCAAUUCAACGGGUGACCUACUUCCCGAGCUGCUGCAACUGCACGAACGUGUUCGGCAGGUGAUGAGCGGCGUCGCCCAGGCCUUAUGGCCGUCCAUCUCCCUACCCGAGGGUCUUGGAGGGCUUGCGAAAAAGCUUCAGGGAGCACGGCAACGCUUCCGUCUAUGGAAGAUAUCGGCAUGCCGUCAAGGCACCCGGGAGGCCUGGGCCAUGGUGAAGACGCGGUACACGAAGGCUGAUCCCAACCACAUGGCCGGGGUCGGACCUGUGGGGCCUGAUGGGAAGGAGAUCCCUGUGAGCUUAAUGUACGGCCAAGUAGAGUUGGCCGCUAAGUAUUCCCAACGGGACUAAACUAGACAGCCUGUUAGAUGGGAUUGAAGAGGAGUACAAUAAGUCAAUUUGACGAUGUAAUUUAAAAAUGACAUGUAAAAUGCCUUCUAGCCGGAUUGUAGAUCGUUUGUCUUUGCGGACCUUUUCGCUUCAACCUCGGGAUCCAAAAGUCCGGAGUGUGUCCGAAUACCCUCACGGUAAUGUAAAAACCGGGGCAUGCAUGGAUACCAGGCGUAAGGGUCAUUAGUGCUUUAUCAAAUAAGUGCCCAACUAGUUAUGUUAUAUUACAUGGUUAGUAAGAAACAUCUUCCAGGGAGAAAUAGUUCCGUUAGGGGUUCCUUUCCCUGAGAGGCAUGUCCUAAAGUGCAUGUCCGGACUGCGAAAAGAGCAGAAAAGCAUCUGGGGGCAGAUAAAUAAAUUUAUAAGGAAUCAUCUUUCAAGUCACCGACCGAAUAUCUAUCUAUUAUAUACUUAAAACAAAAGGCAAACAAGCCAUUACAUGCGUCCACAUAGAUCAAAUUAUCUUGAUCCUUUAUUUUAUCUUUUAACGGCUGAGAUUAAAAGAUGCAAACGUAACGUAAAAAUAUGUACAUGUACAAGUAGUAUAACAUGCCACGUACAAAUAGUGCACAUAGGUUCCAUCCAAAUCGUCAACUAGCCCGCAGAAAAAAAAUCUUUUAAACAAUGGGUCAAGGAAGCAAAAAUAGUAGGAAACCUAAACAAAUAAGGACAACGAUUGGACCUAACCAGACCUCACGUGAGGAAGUUCCAAAACAGGAGCCAAGACAUGAAAAAAAGACAGGUUUCCGAUCUUCUUUCACGGUCUCGGCCACCUCAACCCACGCACCUCCACCCAUAUAUAAACAAGUACAGCCGGCCGCAAAAGCAACACCAAAAAUUUGGAAGUCGGCAAGCAAGAUGGCUUGAAGACAUCACACGCGACUCGGCAACUCAGAUGGCUUGAAGACAUCACACGCAACUAGGCAACUCGACGUUUGAUACGCAAAGCCACCUCCAGCCACUUCACUCUACGUCCGACGAAGUCACGCCAAAGCACACUCAACGCAUGACGAAGCCAUGCCCAGCUACUCCAAUCGACCUCGGAAGAAGUGACGCCAAAGCACUUUUGGCCUAAAUCAUCAGAUAAUUUGGUAAUUGUUAGUAACAGUCUUAUUUUCUCCGGAUAGAAUCUUUAUAAACACUAUAUCAAUUGACAAAUUGUUCCCUAUUAAUAUUCAAGGCAAAACAUUCAUCAAGAAGUUGAGCGACUUAAAUACAAGGGGACGGAACAUGCAAGAAGUUGAGCGACUUAAAUACAAGGGGACGGAACUAGAACGUUCAUCAAGUAAAACAAAUACGAAUGUGGUAUUCAGUCAAUCCUACCACUGAUGAGCUUAUUAGCCCAGAUAUGAUAUAAGUGCAAAGGAUCAUCAGAAAUCGACCAAACAAUCAGUGCGGAGAUCUCGGACAAAGAUGUUAAUCCGGACGGAUAUGAAGCUGUUGAAAAUUUCAUGAUGCACAUGCCUUGCAGAGAGGCAAAUACAAAAUCACCAUGCAUGAUGGACAACAGAUGCACUAAACACUUCCCAAAAGGAUACAAUGUCGAUACCACAAUCCAUGAGGAUGGGUUUCCGAUAUAUAGAAGGUGAGACAAUGGAAGGAAGAUCAAAAAGGGAGGAGCAAUGCUCAACAAUAGAUUUGUCGUACCAUACAACCACAACCUUUUGGUCAAUUCCAAGGUCACAUAAAUGUCGAGUGGUGCAACAGGCCCAGGUCAAUCAAGUACCUAUUUAAGAACAUCCAUAAAGAUGACGAUCAGGUAAUGGCCUUACUAAAGGAAAGAGAUGCGUCAAACGACUAUGAUGACAUCAAGAAAUACCUAGAGAUGAGAUACAUAUCAACAACUGGAGCAUACUGGCGGAUAUUCCAGUUUGAUCUACACACCAUCGUGAUCCACCAGUCAAGAGACUACCAUUCCACAUUGAAAAUGAUCAAGAACUUAUUUUUCUGGACUCGACUGACAUUGAUAAGAUAGUAGAAGGCCAGGAUCCACGAGUAUAAAGUUCACUGAGUGGAUGGAGGCAAACAAAAUACAUGAGGCGGGAAAAGAACUAACCUAUGCAGAAUUCCCAUCAAAAUUUGUAUGGAAAAGCGAAACCAAAACUUGGGGAGCCGAAAAGGGGCUUCGCUAUUGGAAGAAUCUACUAUGCACACUCUGCAAGUGGCAACCGGUAUUAUAUGAGAAUGCUUCUAAACACCAAGAAAGGAUGCACAUCAUUCAGGAUAUUGGAACCGUUAAUGGAGCUGUUCACCCAACAUACAAAUAAGCAUGCCAAGCACUUGGAUUUCUUGAUGACGACAAUGAGUGGAUUGAAUGCAUCAAUGAAGCAUAAUGCUGGGGCUCAGGGACACAAUUACAAUAAUUAUUCACCACAAUUUUAUGCCAUUGUGAGGUGACCAGCCCAAAGAUUUUGAGGGAAUCAACAUGGGAGGCACUGUCUAAAGAUAUCCAGUACAAAAGAAGAAUUAUCCUUAACUUUCCUAUGCUGCAGCUCACUGAUUCACAGAAAAAGGCAUAUGCUCUGAUUGAGAUAGAGAAACUAAUGAGGCAAGAAGGAAAGACACUAAAGGACUAUCCAGAUACAUAACUACCAAAUGCUACAGAACUUGAAGAACUUGGGAACAGAAUGAUAAACGAAAAACUUAGCUAUGGCAUGGAGGCACUAAAAAAUGAGCAGCAAACCAUAAUAAGCAAUGUUAACCAUGGCCAGAAAAUGACCUUUGAUGCAAUAAUGGAAUCAGCUGAGAAAGGACUUGGAAAAUAGAUAUUUGUAGAAGGCUACGGUGGCACAGGCAAAAUUUAUCUAUGGAAAGCAAUUACAACGAAGCUACGGUCAGAGGGAAAGAAAGUGCUUGCGUUAGCAUCAUCUAGCGUUGCAGCUUUGCUCCUACAAGGUGGAAGAACAGCGCACUCAAGAUUCUACAUUCCAAUAAAUACCAUGGAAGAAUCAACAUGUGAAAUAAAACAAGGCUCACAUUUGGCUGAACUGGUAAAGAAGACCUCACUAAUACUAUGGGACGAGGCUCCUAUGGCAAACAAACACUGCUUCAAUGCACUAGAAAUAGCCUUAGGGAUAUUCUAAGGUUCACAAACCAAAAUAGUGAAGAAAGGCCACUUGGUGACAUGAAAGUUGUGCUAGAAGGUGACUUCAGACAAAUACUUCAAGUGAUAACAAAGGAAAAGAUAGAGCAGAUAGUAAAUGCCUUGGUCAAAAGGUCAUACCUAUGGAAGUACUUCGAAAUAUUUAGACUAACUGAAAACAUGCGGCUAAAGUCUGUCAGAAGAUCCAAUAGAAAAGCAAAAUGUGGCCG
rnacentral:lncRNA from 1 species